rnacentral:rRNA from 1 species
AUUGAACGCUGGCGGCAGGCCUAACACAUGCAAGUCGAACGGUAGCACAGAGAGCUUGCUCUCGGGUGACGAGUGGCGGACGGGUGAGUAAUGUCUGGGAAACUGCCCGAUGGAGGGGGAUAACUACUGGAAACGGUAGCUAAUACCGCAUAAUGUCGCAAGACCAAAGAGGGCGACCUUCGGGCCUCUUGCCAUCGGAUGUGCCCAGAUGGGAUUAGCUUGUUGGUGAGGUAAUGGCUCACCAAGGCGACGAUCCCUAGCUGGUCUGAGAGGAUGACCAGCCACACUGGAAAUGAGACACGGUCAAGACUACUAAGGGAGGCAGCAGAGGGGAAUAUUGCACAAAGGGCGCAAGCCUGAUGCAGCCAGGCCGCGUGUGUGAAGAAGGCCUUCGGGUUGUAAAGCACUUUCAGCGGGGAGGAAGGCAAUGCGGUUAAUAACCGUGUUGAUUGACGUUAACCGCAGAAGAAGCACCGGCUAACUCCGUG